UACGUAGGGCGCGAGCGUUGUCCGGAUUUAUUGGGCGUAAAGAGCUCGUAGGUGGCCUGUCGCGUCGGCUGUGAAAACUCGGGGCUCAACUCCGAGCUUGCAGUCGAUACGGGCAGGCUAGAGUUCGGCAGGGGAGACUGGAAUUCCUGGUGUAGCGGUGAAAUGCGCAGAUAUCAGGAGGAACACCGGUGGCGAAGGCGGGUCUCUGGGCCGAUACUGACACUGAGGAGCGAAAGCGUGGGGAGCGAACAGG
rnacentral:rRNA from 1 species